ensembl:lncRNA
UUUUUUUUUUUUUCUCAUAGUCAAAUAAAGCAUUCCAGUAUAAAGGUGCCUUACAAGCAUAGAGUUGCAGGCACAAGGAAGACUGGGAACACUGCAUUUGAUUUAGUACUGAAUGAAAGUGUUUCCCAGGUAGUUUUUGCAGGGAUGAAAAGAACUGUCAAAAGAAACCAGAAGUUGAUUUGCAAACUGAGAAAUGCAGAAUGCUAUAAUUAACUGAAAGAACCCUGAAGCUUGGACCUGAUGACAUUAGUGAUCAAAAGUAGCCUGAAUGGUUUUGAGACUUUGUUUCUUUCUCAAACCUUAAGGAUAACUUUUUUUUUUUUUCCCCUUUUUCCCCCUUUUUUGCUGUAUCAGUUUCAAUUCUUGUUACACUAUUAUAUUAUUUCUACAUUAUUUUCAAAUCCCUUUAUUGCCAUAAAAGUUAUAACUGCCUUAUGUCAUAGGCCAAGAAGAUCUUUUUUCACUCCUAUUUUUCUUUUUUUCUUUUUGCUCUUAUAAUUUUAUACACAUAUGCAGAUAAUCUGAUCAAAAUCAGUGAUUUCAUUACAUACUGUUUGGGAAUUCACCUUUCUUCUUCCUUCUUUGCUAUCUAUAAACUAGAAAUUACAAGCACGUGAUAAUUGUUUGGGAACAAAAGGAUUCUGCUAUUGUGUGAGCGUUCAUGUCUGUGUAUUGAUUUUGGAGACAAGGCAUAUAAAAGAUAUAGCAUUUGAAGGGAAGAAUUCCUCCCUCGAAGACUCAAAAUCUGCUGAAAUCAAGGGCCACCAUGAACUUCAGAGUUUGCUGAGCAUCAGGGUACAGGAUUCAAUCCAAGGCACCCUUGGACGCCACUGCCUGGAGCACAUUUACUGAGAAAUUUCAGAGCUCCAGAACUCUUGAAAUGUUUUCAGAGAUGGAUUUCCCACUGCACAACUUGCAGUUAGAUCCUUCAGUCUUUUUUCUGUUUCCAGAAACUGCAGGUGUCUACCCCUAUUCUCUUCACACCUCACACAGUGGGGUAGUGAGCCAUGUUCACAAGCACAGAAAAUCCUUUUUUCUGCAUGCCAAGGAGAGAGGACACCAUAUCAGUAUAAAUAAGCACACAGGCUGUACUAGAACAUCCUUACUUUGCAAUAUUUCAAUACUCAAAAGAUAAUAACUUGAUCCUACCAAGACUUACUUCUUCCAUGCAAGUCUUCAUUAUUACCUUUUACGAGAGAAAGAACAGACAAGAGCUUCAGACUCCACUGCAGGCUUUAAUCUUUCCCAGAUUAGGAGCAUAGUAGACACUGUGCCCAGGGUAAAUAUUUUUGAAUACUGAGAGACAGAAGCCAACAAGUAGAGCUAGAGAUUUCAUUUAACAGCAACAUUUCUGUCUGUAUUUCUAUGGGUUUUUGGAAGUAAAUAAACAUUUCAAAUACUUUAUAAGCAACAUGAGGUGAAUAAUUCACCACCAGUCUUGCCCAUUGUAUAAAUUAGGUGCUUCAGUGCUAACUGGAACGUUAAAUUUAGGUUGUUGAAAGAUUGUAGCCUCUGCUCAAGACCAUUGGAGGGGGUGAGAAGAAAACUCAAGGCUUAAACAACUGCAUCUGUCAGACUGACAGGUUGGAGAUGAAAAGCAAUACCACCCACAGGGUCGAAUGACAAAAACAAUUCCUCCCAUUUUCUAGACAGCCUUAGGCUCUGACAGCACAAUGUCAACCCUACUUACAAGCAAAAAAUCAGCAAAAAUAAUUUAACUUAAUGCAAACAAACCUAAAUAAUAGACCUGUACUUCACCUCGUGUGUGCAAAUUAACAACUUCUUUAGCAUCAAUAGUUCAUUUCCUGCAUCACAAACUAGAACUAUGAGAGCAGUCUGCUGAUUUCAAUUUCCAAACCUGGAAAUCCUAACAAAUAGAUAACUUGAUUUGAUUUUCAUGAAUCUUUAAACCAAUUAUUAAUUACUUAAAGUACUCGAAUGGGUUUGUUAGGCAUAUACACAGAUUUGGUAUUCUGGGGUGGGGAGGAUAUGACAGUUGAUCAAAAUUGUCAGAAGUCAACAUUCUUUUUAAUUGCAAUAUUCAAACCAAGCUUUUAUUCUUCCAACACUUUUACUCUGAAUAUUCCUUUCUUCUGUUCUAAGUUCCAAAAAGUAUCUGAAGCAUAACUUACCUUACUUUUAUAUCCCUGCUGGUAUCAUAAAGUUUAUGAAUUUUUUUCAUCAUUAAAAAAGACAGAAAGAGUAAAAACCAUAGGUACAAAAUAGAUGUGUACAUCUCUGUUAGUUGCUGAUACAAAGACCACUCCAAAAGUAAUGCCUUCACUUAUUUCCAUGGAAACUACAACAUAUAUGAAGAGCACAAUAACACUAUACAAUAGAGCAAAUUCUCACCUACAAAACACUAUUUUUUUCAACAUAGUCACCAUCAUUAGCUGAUUCACACAGAUGAGCUGAUCGAGAUGAUUUUCAUUUUGAGAUAUGACAGCUAUGCAUGGCCGUCCUGAUCAUGGCUUGUCUUUCAUGUCACUGUGACCACAGCUGAAAUGCACCACGCACCACCUCUCUGUGCUCACAUCCACUGUUUGGUCCCCAUAAACAUUCAGCAAGCACUGAUGAAUGUCACCAUGUGCAAUUUAUUCCUGCAUGGGGGAAUUUAGUUAACGCACCUUUGCUUCAUAUGAACUUCCAUGUCAGACAUUGUUCUGUCAGACUGCUCCUCUGAUGCCAUUUGUUGCAUGGCAUCAACACGUAACAGAAUAUUGGUGGGGAGGUUCAACUUCUACUAAAAUACCACCAACAUCAGCCUCUGACAUGGUGAGCCAACAUCAUAAAAUAGAAAGCAUUACUUUCAGAGCAGCCCACAUACUUCUUUUGUAUACUGUGAAGAGAAAAAAUCACUUCUGAUCCUAAGAAGCAGGUGACUUGAACCCAAGCAUUGUUUACUUCCCUUUCUGAAUGUGAAGAGUUUCUAUGGAACUAGCUUAGAUACAGGUACAUUGUAGGCACCUAAUCCUGCCCAGGAAUUUGCACUAUAAUCCAUUGGAUGCGUC